UACGUAGGUGGCGAGCGUUGUCCGGAUUUACUGGGCGUAAAGGGCGUGCAGGCGGUUUGCUAAGUCUAGGGUGAAAGCUCCCGGCUCAACUGGGAGAGGUCCUUGGAUACUGACAGACUUGAGGGAGGCAGGGGUGCGCGGAACUGAUGGUGGAGCGGUGAAAUGCGUUGAUAUCAUCAGGAACUCCGGUGGCGAAGGCGGCGCACUGGUCCUUUUCUGACGCUGAGGCGCGAAAGCCAGGGGAGCAAACGGG
rnacentral:rRNA from 1 species